rnacentral:rRNA from 1 species
GACGAACGCUGGCGGCGUGCUUAAUACAUGCAAGUCGAACGGAAAGGCCCUGUUUUUGCGGGGUGCUCGAGUGGCGAACGGGGGAGUGACACGCGAGUAACCCGCCCUUGACUGAGGGAUAACUCCAGGAAACAGGGGCUAAUACCGGAUAGGAGCCCCUGCUGCACGGUGGGGGUUGGAAAGUUUCGGCGGUUGGGGAUGGACUCGCGGCUUAUCAGCUUGUUGGUGGGGUAGUGGCUUACCAAGGCUUUGACGGGUAGCCGGCCUGAGCGGGUGACCGGCCACCUUGGGCCUGCGAUACGGCCCAGACUCCUACGGGAGGCAGCAGUGGGGAAUAUUGCGCAAUGGGCCGAAGCCUGAUGCAGCAACGCCGCGUGCGGGAUGACGGCCUUCGGGUUGUAAACCGCUUUCGCCUGUGACGAAGCGUGAGUGACGGUAAUGGGUAAAGAAGCACCGGCUAACUACGUG